ACGGGAGGCAGCAGUGAGGAAUAUUGGUCAAUGGACGAGAGUCUGAACCAGCCAAGUAGCGUGCAGGAUGACGGCCCUAUGGGUUGUAAACUGCUUUUGUACGGGAAUAAAGUGACCUACGUGUAGGUUUUUGCAUGUACCGUAAGAAUAAGGACCGGCUAAUUCCGUGCCAGCAGCCGCGGUAAUACGUAGGGAGCAAGCGUUAUCCGGAUUUACUGGGUGUAAAGGGCGUGUAGGCGGGACAUCAAGUCAGAUGUGAAAGCACGAGGCUCAACUUCGUGUCUGCAUUUGAAACUGACGUUCUUGAGUGUUGGAGAGGCUAACGGAACUCCUAGUGUAGCGGUGAAAUGCGUAGAUAUUAGGAAGAACACCAGUGGCGAAGGCGGUUAGCUGGACAAUAACUGACGCUGAGGCGCGAAAGCGUGGGUAGCAAACAGGAUUAGAUACCCUGGUA
rnacentral:rRNA from 1 species